rnacentral:rRNA from 1 species
AUUUAACGCUGGCGGCAUGCUUUACACAUGCAAGUCGAACGGUAACAGGCCGCAAGGUGCUGACGAGUGGUGAACGGGUGAGUAAUGCAUCGGAACGUGCCCAGUCGUGGGGGAUAAGGCAGCGAAAGCUGCGCUAAUACCGCAUACGAUCUGUGGAUGAAAGCGGGGGACCGUAAGGCCUCGCGCGAUUGGAGCGGCCGAUGUCAGAUUAGGUAGUUGGUGGGGUAAAGGCUCACCAAGCCAACGAUCUGUAGCGGGUCUGAGAGGACGACCAGCCACACUGGGACUGAGACACGGCCCAGACUCCUACGGGAGGCAGCAGUGGGGAAUUUUGGACAAUGGGCGCAAGCCUGAUCCAGCAAUGCCGCGUGCAGGAAGAAGGCCUUCGGGUCGUAAACUGCUUUUGUACGGAACGAAACGGUCCUGGUUAAUACCUGGGGCUAAUGACGGUACCGUAAGAAUAAGCACCGGCUAACUACGUGCCAGCAGCCGCGGUAAAAC